GGUAGGGUAACGGGCCUACCCAAGGCGAUGAUGCAUAGCCGAGUUGAGAGACUGAUCGGGCCACAUUGGGGACUGAGACACGGGCCCAAACUCCUACGGGAGGCAGCAGUAGGGAAUCUUCCACAAUGGACGCAAGUCUGAUGGAGCAAACGCCGCGUGAGUGAAGAAGGGUUUCGGCUCGUAAAAAGCUCUGUUGUUGGUGAAGAAGGACAGGGGUAGUAACUGACCCUUUGUUUUGACGGUAAUCAAUUAGAAAGUCACGGGCUAACUACGUGCCAGCAGCCGCGGUAAAU
rnacentral:rRNA from 1 species